AAGUUGUUGCGGUUAAAAGCUCGUAGUUCGAGCUCAGUUCCGGACUGGCCGGGGAGGUCACCGCCCGGUGCUUCCCCGUCAGGCUCCGAACAGCCUUCGUGAGCGGAGGCCAAGCCGGUUCUGCCGGGGUGCUCUUUACCGAGUGUCCCGCGCGGCCGGCCAGUUCACCUUGAAUAAAUGAGAGUGCUCAAAGCAGGCUACUCUCGAAUACAAUGCCCGAAUGUUACCUGCAUGGAAUGAUGGAAGAUGAUCUCGGUUCCAUUUUAUUGGUGGUGGGAGCCCGAGGUAAUGAUAAACAGGGACUGUCGGGGGCAUCCGUACUACGACGCGAGAGGUGAAAUUCAGUGACCGUCGUAGGACGAACAACAGCGAAAGCAUUUGCCAAGAAUGUCUUCGUUGAUCAAGAACGAAAGUUAGAGGAUCGAAGGCGAUCAGAUACCGCCCUAGUUCUAACCCUAAACGAUGCUGACUAGCAAUUCGCCGUCGUUAUUCCCAUGACGUGGCGAGACGCCCCCGGGAAACCUCAAGUCUUUGAGUUCCGGGGGUAGUAUGGUUGCAAAACUGAAACUUAAAGGAAUUGACGGAAGGGCACCACCAGGAGUGGAGCCUGCGGCUUAAUUUGACUCAACACGGGAAACCUCACCAGGCCCGGACACCAGAAGGAUUGACAGAUUAAGAGCUCUUUCUCGAUUUGGUGGGUGGUGGUGCAUGGCCGUUCUUAGUUGGUGGAGUGAUUUGUCUGGUUAAUUCCGGUAACGAACGAGACUCUGGCCUACUAAAUAGUCGACGGGCGUUUUGGUGCAUGGGCCCCGUUCGACACAGUCUUCUUAGAGGGAUGAGCAGCGAGUAUAGCUGCAGGAGAUUGAGCAAUAACAGGUCUGUGAUGCCCUUAGAUGUCCUGGGCCGCACGCGCGCUACACUGAAUGGGUUAGCGGGUUGUCCUUCUCCGAGAGGAGCGGGAAAUCGCUUGAAAACCAUUCGUGAUAGGGAUUGGGGCUUGCAAUUGUUUCCCAUGAACGAGGAAUUCCCAGUAAGCGCAAGUCAUCAGCUUGCGUUGAUUAAGUCCCUGCCCUUUGUACACACCGCCCGUCGCUACUACCGAUUGAAUGAUUUAGUGAGGCCUUCGGACUGGCGGUCUUGGACUGGGGCGCCGGCGUUCUCCAGCAAUGGGGUGCCGGCGACCCGCCUAGACGGGCCGGAAAGAUGUCCAAACUUGAUCAUUUAGAGGAAGUAAAAGUCGUAACAAGGUUUCCGUA
rnacentral:rRNA from 1 species